GAUGAACGCUGGCGGCGUGCCUAAUACAUGCAAGUCGAGCGAAUGGAUUAAGAGCUUGCUCUUAUGAAGUUAGCGGCGGACGGGUGAGUAACACGUGGGUAACCUGCCCAUAAGACUGGGAUAACUCCGGGAAACCGGGGCUAAUACCGGAUAACAUUUUGAACCGCAUGGCUCGAAAUUGAAAGGCGGCUUCGGCUGUCACUUAUGGAUGGACCCGCGUCGCAUUAGCUAGUUGGUGAGGUAACGGCUCACCAAGGCAACGAUGCGUAGCCGACCUGAGAGGGUGAUCGGCCACACUGGGACUGAGACACGGCCCAGACUCCUACGGGAGGCAGCAGUAGGGAAUCUUCCGCAAUGGACGAAAGUCUAACGGAGCAACGCCGCGUGAGUGAUGAAGGCUUUCGGGUCGUAAAACUCUGUUGUUAGGGAAGAACAAGUGCUAGUUGAAUAAGCUGGCACCUUGACGGUACCUAACCAGAAAGCCACGGCUAACUACGUGCCAGCCGCCGCGGUAA
rnacentral:rRNA from 1 species